UUUUUUUUUUUUUUUUUUUUUUUUUUUUUCAAAUGAAUCGAAA
rnacentral:ribozyme from 1 species